UUUCAGAUGACCCACUGAGAGAGUGCCGACGGCCCUGAAGAUGCACAGAGGUUUACAUCUGAACUAAUGCACAGAGGUUUACAUCUGAACUAAUGCACAGAGGUUUACACCUGAACUAAUGCACAGAGGUUUACAUCCGAACUAAUGCACAGAGGUUUACAUCCGAACUAAUGCACAGAGGUUUACAUCCGAACUAAUGCCAUCAAACAACCAUCUCACGUUACUACAACACAACACGGUGGACUCCACCUGCUUACAUGCAGAAGGCCAGAAGUGCACACAAACCUGCCUUUGGGGACUGAACUCCUCCUGGCGAUCUUUGCAUUGGCCACACACGUUUGUGGAUCCAUUACACUUAAUCUACUAUGUAGAGUUUCAGCCCUGUCCUCCGUGUCUGCCCCCAACUCUGAGGAGUGUUUCCUGUAUUGAGUAUGCACUGAAAUGGCCUACUCAGUGUUGAGGUAAUCAGCUGUUCAUCCCCACACAACUCCAGGAGCCCAGAGAAGGAACGGGACGUCUGGAGAAGGUAAGUGACCAACCUACCACAGGUCUCAUGAAGUAACAGACCACCAGGCCAUCAGGAAAUCAGAAAUCGGACUAAAUAAUUUACAUAUGUAAAGAUAUAUAGUUGAAUUGACAUAUAAAGCUAUAUAGUUGAAUUGACAUAUAUAAAGCUAUAUCGUUGAUUUUUUUUUAUUUAAAUAAAAAUUCCUAUGCUCAAAACCACAGAGCAGUAUUUAGAAAAUGUACAUGAUUCCUCAUGAUAAGGAUUUAGGCACAACAUAUUCAAGGGAUAUUUGACCCUAUGAAAACAAAAACAAAACUGUGUGAACCUAAAUUGAGGACAGAAAAACGAAAUCUUCUUUCGCAGCAUUUUAUUGCUUUCAUUAGUUUAGUCUGUUUACUGGCUAUAUGUAUCUCUAUACUCUUUUCUGCACUCUUUUUCAAAGUAAUUCUAUGACACUGUAACUGAUAUGAAAUGAUGAACACAUUCAUGUUAAUUCACUGGCACUGAUUGGCUGCUGUUUCUAAAUGACGUGGAUCUGUGUUGUUUUCUCAAUAAAGUGACACAAAAUGGAA